UGUUCUGCAAACCACUCGAGUGCUGCUAACCAUGACUAAUGUUAGCUGGCAAGGCUCACGGGGCAGCAGCUCUUGGAGCUAGAUGUGUUUGUGGCAUUUCCCUUGGAAAGGAAAUAGAGAGACUGAAAAAUUAUGCAUAAAGUAUUCCUUACACUCCCAAAAACACUCAUUUGCCAUUGCUACUUACAGUAAAAACAAAUACACACUGAGGAAAAGCCUCCUACAUAGGACUCCCUUUAUAAGAAGGUUAUGAGCACACUAUAAUUGUAGCAGUGCUGUGCAAGCUUUUUAACCAAGGACUUACAGGUCACUGCCACCCAAUAAUUACAAUAAAUUCAGUUUGCCUCUAUUUAUUUAUUUUUCUUUUUUACUUUGCAAACUGGUACUGCAGCAGUGAAAAAACCUGUGUGGCCACAAGACUGUAGCAGAUGGAUGUGCAAAGCAAGAUGAAAUUGUAAAAACCAGCAGAUUCUUAGAGAUAUCACAGGCAGAAAAAUCAGAUAAAAUAAGCAAACUGCCUUUUCAUCAUAACAGUCUUCCUCCUGUGGGUGUCUGGGCACUGUCAAAGUUCAACUGAUUAAAUGUAGGCAUCUGUAUCAGAACUCCAAAGAGAUGAGAAGAUUGCUGUGUGAGAUAAGAUGCUGAAGAAUAGUCAUGAGAAGACCUUGGCUUCUACUAGCAAACUAACCAGCACCAGAGAUUUUCUCCUAAAUCUGAGGAAGACCACAAGAGAAAAGCACCCUUCUGAGUUAUUGCAUAACCUUAAGAAAAUGAUCUGUCCUUGUCUGCACAGAAGAAGGCUGAUAACAAAGCCCUUCCUGGGAAAUAUUCAGGCACAUUCCUAAAUAUAUCACAAGGAAGAACUUUUGUCAUCCAUAAAGUUAACUACAUUUAUAAAUCAGUUAUAGUAUCUAGGCUUUAAGGGGUGGGUGUGCAUUCUCUCCACUACCUUAAAAGCUCUGCUUGUGGUACAAAUUAUGACCUAAUUAUAAACACAAUAUAAAACUUUGGUGCAAACAUGUCUGUUUUCCUCCAGCAGAGCAACUGACAGCAUCCAGGAGCAGUAGCAGUGGUGCUGCUGGGAGCAUGUUUCUUGUUAAGACACCAUCCCUGGAUCAUGCUUGAUGUCAUUCCCAUUAUAUCUGACUCUAUCACUCCUCAGGCCAACACCAGAAACCCUCAGCAACAGCCAAACAUCCCACUAAUAUGAGCCAAAAUU